rnacentral:rRNA from 1 species
UAGGGAAUAUUGGACAAUGGGGGAAACCCUGAUCCAGCAGUGCCGCGUGAGUGAAGAAGGCCUUAGGGUUGUAAAACUCCUUCAUCAAUGAUGAUAAUGACAUUAGUUGAAGAAGAAGCUCCGGCUAACUUCGUGCCAGCAGCCGCGGUAAUACGAAGGGGCUAGCGUUGUUCGGAAUCACUGGGCGUAAAGCGUAUGUAGGCGGAUCAAAAAGUUAGGUGUGAAAUCCCUGGGCCCAACCCAGGAACUGCAUUUAAAACUAGUGAUCUAGAAAUUGGUAAGGGUUAGUAGAAUUUCCAGUGUAGAGGUGAAAUUCGUAGAUAUUGGAAAGAAUACCAGAAGCGAAGGCG